UCCUUGUAGAUAAAGUAAGAUGCAGUGAGGUGGGGUGGAGAGGGUAGAAACAAUAGGGUCAGGAACCAAGACCAGUGACGCAAAAGAAGCUAGAGAGGAAGUAGGACUAAGCAGAGCCAAAGGGAGAGCAAUACAAAAGCAGCCUUGGAUCGAGCCGGAGUGGCAAGCGUUAAAGGGAGGCGGGGAGUGACGCGGUUUGCGUCUAGAGCGGCUCCUUGGAGUCCACAGCAUCCACCGCCGGAGCCUCGCCUUCCUUUCUCCGUCUGCAGACAUAUCGAGACACAAAAAGAGGCAACCCCUGGAUCAGUGCGAGAGACCUCAUCCCAUCAUGACCGAGACCACAAAGACCCACGUUAUCCUGCUGGCCUGCGGCAGCUUCAAUCCCAUCACUAAAGGGCACAUUCAGAUGUUCGAGAGAGCCAGGGAUUAUCUGCACAAGACUGGAAGAUUUAUUGUGAUUGGCGGGAUUGUCUCUCCGGUCCAUGACUCCUACGGAAAACAGGGCCUUGUGUCAAGUCGGCACCGUCUCAUCAUGUGUCAGCUGGCUGUCCAGAAUUCCGACUGGAUCAGGGUGGACCCAUGGGAGUGCUAUCAGGACACCUGGCAGACAACCUGCAGUGUGUUGGAGCACCAUCGAGACCUGAUGAAGAGGGUGACCGGCUGCAUCCUCUCCAACGUCAACACACCUUCCAUGACACCUGUGAUCGGACAGCCACAGCAUGAGAACACCCAGCCCAUUUACCAGAACAGCAAUGUGCCCACCAAGCCCACUGCAGCCAAGAUCUUGGGAAAGGUGGGAGAAAGCCUCAGCCGGAUCUGCUGCGUCCGCCCACCAGUGGAGCGCUUCACUUUUGUAGAUGAGAACGCCAACCUGGGCACAGUGAUGCGGUAUGAGGAGAUCGAGCUGCGCAUCUUGCUGCUGUGUGGUAGUGACCUGCUGGAGUCUUUCUGCAUCCCAGGACUCUGGAAUGAGGCAGAUAUGGAAGUGAUUGUUGGGGACUUUGGGAUCGUCGUGGUACCCAGGGAUGCAGCGGACACAGACCGGAUCAUGAAUCACUCCUCCAUACUCCGCAAGUACAAAAACAACAUCAUGGUUGUGAAGGAUGAUAUCAACCAUCCCAUGUCUGUAGUCAGCUCCACCAAGAGCAGGCUGGCCCUGCAGCAUGGGGACGGCCAUGUUGUGGAUUACCUGUCCCAGCCAGUCAUCGAUUACAUCCUCAAGAGUCAGCUGUACAUCAACGCCUCGGGCUAGCGGAUACCCAGCUCUCUGCUCUAUUCUCCCCGUGUCCUCUGCCAACACACUGUCAGACCCCGGUUUCUCUCCUGCCUCUCUGUUUCUCUGUCUUCAUCUUGACUGUUCUCCCCACUGGCUGACCUAACCCCCACAGUGUGGAGGGCCUGCGAAGAACCGUGGCGCACCCCAUUCCACAGUCAUCUUUGGACAAACUUUCCUCUAGUCUCCGGGUUGGGGGUGGGUAAGGGAACAGGGUGGGAGUUGGGGAAAGUGCAGCCCUUGGAGAUGUACUGGUGUCCGUAUCCCAGCAUGCUCUGGGGACAUGGCUCAGGCCCUUGCCUUCCCAGCAUGCCCUUUACCACAAAGGGCUAUUUUUUUUUCUUUUUCUUUGUCCACUUCUUGUAGAACUUGGAUGAAAUCAGUGUGUGUGUGAGUGUGUUUGUUUGUUUGUAGUCUUGAUGCUCUCCUGUGGUUUACUUCCCUUCUGAUAGGACACUAUAGCCAGUCUCAGCACUCGUAAGUGCGGAGGGCCACAUCCAGGAAAGAAGGCAGAGCCUCUCUGCUUUUCCAAUACACACACACACACACACACACACACACACACACACACACACACACAGCACACCAGCAGCAGCAUCCCCAGACCCCUUUGGUCAAGAGUAAGACUUUCAGAUGAUCGUGGUCUUGAUGCUGUGUGUCUGACCAGUAGCAUUGAGUGGGUUCUCUGCCAACCAGGCAUUUGCAGAGAGCAAAAACCCUCGGAGGUCAUGCUAAGGCAUGUUCCUGUUGGUGAGAGGAACCACACAAGGCAAGACUAAGUCCUGAUAAUCUAUUCUUUUUUUUUUUUUUUUGAAAACAUGCUAAGAACCCACUUGACUGAAAAGAUGCUUUGCUAAUUGGCAUUAUUUAUUGCCCAUUUGGCUCGGAGCUAUAAGUCCAGGAUGAUCUGGGAGAAUGCAGUUUGUUACCCUGAGAAUUCAUGAUCCCCACACACUCCACCUGAGCUUGCCAGGCUGUGCCCAAAGCCCUUUCCUUCUUGCAAAGCAAUCAGCCUUGUUUCUGAGCUGGCCCUACCUGUCUCCUGCAGAGCCCAGCAGUCAAUGCCCUGGGAGGUCUCCCUGACACACAAGAGCAGUCUCUCCUGUUUCUCCCCAUUUCUCCUCGAUGUCCUCCCCUUCUCUCUACCUCUGAAGACAGUUCAAGACUGGACAAGAUACUCGUGUCCUGCCUGGAGAGCUCGUGGGGAAUGAUUUUUGUGUUUUGUGUUUGCCUUUCAGCCUCUGGCUCUUGGGUUUCUGGUUGUUCAUGGGGAACAGCUCCUGAGUGUCAGGCUACAUUUUAAUUUCUAACAUCAACAUGGCCCAGGUGGGACUGGAUCAGGGGCGAUGCUUUUUGCCUUGGCUUUCCCUCCCACCUUCUCCGCUGACUUCAGGAGGAAGAAGCUGGGUCAACAGAAGCGCAUAGGCCAUCUCCAGAGCUGUGGCUUUUCUUUAGACUGUAGAAGUGACCUCCAGAGGGAGGAGAUUAUUUCUAUAAUCGAGAAGUCCAGUGUUUGACUAAAAGUCAUGGAAAAAUAGAGAAAACUUGCAUGACCCAUCUGCUCCCGGGUUCUUAUUUGAAAACAAGGGAGCAGAGACCCAGGGAGUCAGUGUCUUGUCCAGGAUCACUCAGUGCAUCCUGGGAAGUAUGAUGAGAAGAUGCUGCUUCCCUAGACAAAAGAAAACCAGGAGCCUGCGGGGAGACAUGGGUGACAUGGGCGACAUGGGGUUUUGAAGGCUCUAGAGCUGACAUGGCUCCACAAGAGCAGACCCCAGCAAGGCUACUUCCAUUUUGUUCCUUUGGUUCACUGUGUUUCUGUUCUGAACUCUUGUUGAGCUUCAUUCAGUCCAUAGCCUGGGAUAAGGAACCAGGUUAGCCCAGCAGCCUCAGGGGGCAACAGGCAGCUCAGAACAGGGAAGGAAGGAGAGGUGAGCUAAGAAAAGAAUCACACAGAAGAAGUGCAUUUCUGGGAAGCAGGUGGGCAGAUUGUAUCUUGUUAAGGCGUGUUAAAAAUGGUUUCCCCUUAACAGAGGUGAGUCCCCAUCCGGGUGGGAUUGUCCAUUCACUUCUCUGUCUCUUUCUCCCGUUGUUGGAUCAAGGGUAGGGGACCCCCCCCCGUACCCCCCAACCCUGCCCCUAAGGGGAGCACAAUGUGACUGUGACCUGCCGUGGCCAACACCAAAAAGACAGUUUAUAAGUGGUGCCUCAGGUGUCAUCAGGGUGACUUGGGUCUGUCUUUGGGGACCCAUUGUGAGAGCUAGCCUAUUACUGGCAUGGCACAGAGAUGGUAAUAAAGACACAAACUGCAGUGAUCCCAUCAUUUACUGCUGCCUGCCAUUUUUAAUGUCCCCGCCAUUUUUUUUAAAGCAGCUGAUAGAACAGAGAGGACAAACUUUAAUAACCCUCUCCUUAAGGAAUGAGGCUGGGCCUCCCUGGAUUAAUUGUCUGAGCCACACACUCCCCAUCCCAGGUAGCCUCUGGGCCCCUGGCUUUCACUUUCCUUGAAUGUACAUUGGACCAGCAAGGGAAGUCUCUUACUGAAGUGCCUGAAUUCACAGCUGAAGUCUUAGAGACACUGGCCUUCCUGUUUUGGCUUGGCUACAAGUUCUAGUCUCCAGUUUCAGGAUCUCUAAAAGGAUUCAUGAACACUCUAUUCAAAUAAGUGGGAAGUAAAACUUGAUAAUCAAACUGUAUCAAAAGCCAGAGGAUUUUAGGGAGCCCCCACCCUCACCCUCAUCCCUACCCCCGAUGUUCUCAUACAUGCUUGUAGGGGACUGAGAGAAGCAUGUCCAUGUAUUUGUGUUCCUAUUUUUAAAAGUAACGCAACACCAGGUGUGGUGGCACAUACCUGUGAUCCCAGCACUGAGAGGUGGAGGCAGGAGGACCAGGGGUUCAAGCCCAGCCUCUGGGCACAGAAGACCUUGUCUCAAAACAAAAGCAGCAAUGUAAAACCAGGAUGGGACAGUCUCAGGACCUCUCCUCGUGUUACAGCAGGAGGGCUACAAAGAGUGGAGGUGGGAAGACUUUAUAGCGCAUGUAGGUAGGACACCUUGGAGAUAUCCUAUGGUAAUGAGGAUGGGUGUACUCUGCCACGCUGAUCCAACCUGUACUGUCCUGUGAGCUGACUGGUGAAUUCCACUCUUGAUGUGGUUUCUGUGUAGUGUGCAUUUGGAAGUGUCCUAGUAGCCUGUUCUAGUUAGUUAGACUGCAGCCCUUUCCCAUCACCUUCAGUGGAGUCCCAGGGCACACAGCUCAUCUCGAUCCUUGUGGGUUGGAAUGGGGAGGAGGAAGCUUUUUUUUUUUUAAUUUUUUAAAAAAUCAUAUCUGCUAAUUUAAGAGUGAGAUUUGCUUUAUGGAAGUCAACUCAAUAAAAACUGCAUUCGAGUUGCAAAUACCAUUUCACAGUGAAAUAUUUUUGAGUAGAGUUCUGUUGCUAGGAUAGUCGUGGGCAAGAGUUUUAUCAGCAAAAUGUUUCAAUUAUGUUAAUAAAUCAGACAAUGCUACUAGA